UGGGGUUCAUUAGGACUAAGAACGCCUGGCAUUAUAUUGUGCUUACAGGAAAACGACUGCAUAUAUGAAUGUAAACUUGGCAUAGCUUGAGGCCCAGAGCAGUCAUGGAAGAGUAUCUGACAUGAAAGAGAGAAAGAGAAAGAAGCUGAAUCGAGCAGAGAGGAGAGCUCCAGGAGGGCAGUGAUUACAUAUCUUUCCUGUAAUAGGUUUUAAGUCAUAAACUUAUUAGAUGGGCUUGAGAGAAAGCCUUGCCGUAUAAUAUGACAGAGCUUCUGGUGGUAGCACUUUGAGGGUGAAAUGUUUCUGCAUUCUUGCAUCAUCUGUUCUGGUUUCAGUUUCUCAAAUUCUGAUUGGUCCGCUGAACGCUGAAAAUAGCCUGGAUGUGAAUCAGACUGAAUUUGAAUACCAAACUCAACACUCACUCACUUAGGCAAAUUACUUACACACUCCGUGCUCCAGUUGCUCAUCUAUUGAACGGAGAUGAAAAUAAUAGUUCCAGCUCCUAGGGCUUUUGUGAAAAUAAAAUGAAUGAACUCAUGUAAAUGCUUAUAGUGGUGCCCAGCAUACAGUAAGCAUAGCUUAGAUAUCAGAUAUUACUAUUACUUCUGCUUUCUCUGUGGUUUGUUCCUGCUGUCAUUACUACCUGGCAAGUCUCACAGUCUCUGCAUAUCCAAUUACCACUCCUCUUUAAAAC